rnacentral:rRNA from 1 species
UGGGGAAUAUUGCACAAUGGGCGCAAGCCUGAUGCAGCCAUGCCGCGUGUGUGAAGAAGGCCUUCGGGUUGUAAAGCACUUUCAGCGGGGAGGAAGGCGGUGAGGUUAAUAACCUCAUCGAUUGACGUUACCCGCAGAAGAAGCACCGGCUAACUCCGUGCCAGCAGCCGCGGUAAUACGGAGGGUGCAAGCGUUAAUCGGAAUUACUGGGCGUAAAGCGCACGCAGGCGGUCUGUCAAGUCGGAUGUGAAAUCCCCGGGCUCAACCUGGGAACUGCAUUCGAAACUGGCAGGCUAGAGUCUUGUAGAGGGGGGUAGAAUUCCAGGUGUAGCGGUGAAAUGCGUAGAGAUCUGGAGGAAUACCGGUGGCGAAGACGGCCCCCUGGACAAAGACUGACGCUCAGGUGCGAAAGCGUGGGGAGCAAACAGG